rnacentral:rRNA from 1 species
AGAGUUUGAUCCUGGCUCAGGACGAACGCUGGCGGCGUGCUUAACACAUGCAAGUCGAACGAACGGAUAAGAGAAGCUUGCUUUUCUUAGAAGUUAGUGGCGGACGGGUGAGUAACGCGUGGGCAAUCUACCCAUAAGACUGGAAUAACUACGGGAAACCGUGGCUAAUACCGGAUAUAAUCAUUGAGCCGCAUGGCUUGAUGAUGAAAGGAGGCCUCUCUUUGAAGCUCCUGCUUAUGGAUGAGCCCGCGUCCCAUUAGCUAGUUGGUGAGGUAACGGCCCACCAAGGCGACGAUGGGUAGCCGGCCUGAGAGGGUGAUCGGCCACACUGGGACUGAGACACGGCCCAGACUCCUACGGGAGGCAGCAGUGGGGAAUCUUCCGCAAUGGGCGCAAGCCUGACGGAGCAACGCCGCGUGAGUGAUGAAGGCUUUAGGGUCGUAAAACUCUGUCUUUAGGGAAGAAGUCUUGAAAGUGAAUAGCUUUCUAGGUGACGGUACCUGAGGAGGAAGCUCCGGCUAACUACGUGCCAGCCGCCGCGGUAAUAC